AUACGGAGGGUGCAAGCGUUAUCCGGAAUCAUUGGGUUUAAAGGGUCCGUAGGCGGACUAAUAAGUCAGGGGUGAAAUCCCACAGCUUAACUGUGGAACUGCCUUCGAUACUGUUAGUCUUGAGUUAUAUGGAAGUAGAUAGAAUGUGUAGUGUAGCGGUGAAAUGCUUAGAGAUUACACAGAAUACCGAUUGCGAAGGCAGUCUACUACAUAUAUCCUGACGCUAAUGGACGAAAGCGUGGGGAGCGAACAGGAUUAGAAACCCUAGUAGUCC
rnacentral:rRNA from 1 species